UUUCCGUAGGUGAACCUGCGGAAGGAUCAUUACUGAGUGAGGGCCCCUCGGGGUCCAACCUCCCACCCGUGUUUAACGAACCUUGUUGCUUCGGCGGGCCCGCCUCACGGCCGCCGGGGGGCAUCUGCCCCCGGGCCCGCGCCCGCCGAAGCCACCUGUGAACGCUGUCUGAAGUAUGCAGUCUGAGUCUAUUAUUAAAUUAAUUAAAACUUUCAACAACGGAUCUCUUGGUUCCG
rnacentral:misc_RNA from 1 species